rnacentral:rRNA from 1 species
CUGCCAGCCGCCGCGGUAAUACGGAGGGUGCAAGCGUUAUCCGGAUUCAUUGGGUUUAAAGGGUGCGCAGGCGGAUACUUAAGUCAGUGGUGAAAUCCCGGGGCUCAACCCCGGAACUGCCAUUGAUACUGAAUAUCUGGAAUACGGUUGAAGUGGGCGGAAUGUAGCUUGUAGCGGUGAAAUGCAUAGAGAUGCUACAGAACACCGAUCGCGAAGGCAGCUCACUAAGCCGAUAUUGACGCUCAGGCACGAAAGCGUGGGGAGCGAACAGGAUUAGAUACCCUGGUAGUCCACGCCGUAAACGAUGAUAACUCGUUGUUGGCGACACACAGUCAGCGACUAAGCGAAAGCGAUAAGUUAUCCACCUGGGGAGUACGAUCGCAAGGUUGAAAUUCAAAGGAAUUGGCGG